CCUACGGGGGGCAGCAGUGGGGGAUAUUGCACAAUGGGGGGAACCCUGAUGCAGCGACGCCGCGUGGGCGAUGGAGUACUUCGGUAUGUAAAGCUCUAUCAGCAGGGAAGAAAAUGACGGUACCUGACUAAGAAGCCCCGGCUAACUACGUGCCAGCAGCCGCGGUAAUACGUAGGGGGCAAGCGUUAUCCGGAUUUACUGGGUGUAAAGGGAGCGUAGACGGUGCAGCAAGUCUGAUGUGAAAGGUCGGGGCCCAACCCCGGGACUGCAUUGGAAACUGUUGAACUGGAGUACAGGAGAGGUAA
rnacentral:rRNA from 1 species